GGGGGGGGGGGGGGGGGGGGGGGGGGGGGGGGGGGGGGGGGGGGGGGGGGGGGGGGGGGGGGGGGGGGGGGGGGGGGGGGGGGGGGGGGGGCAGGGCCGGGCAGGGCCGGGCCCGGGCGGGGAGGGACGGCAAAGAGAGGCUGUGCCUCAGCAGGGCCGGGCAGGGCCGGGCCCGGUGCCUGCAGCGCUCCCGAGCGCCGAGCGGCAGCGGCAGGGAGCCUGGCAGAGGCAGCUCUGGCUGGGCUGUGGCGGCAGCAGCGGCCUCCUCCUCCAAAGCCGAGAGCGAGCGAGAGAGAGCAGCUGCCCCGCUGGCCUUUCACUGCUUCUAAUCUCACCGUGUCUCUGCCCCUCCCUCCGAGAGAAACCCCAAAAACCAGAGGGGUUCCUCCUCCCCUGUCUCAAGUACUUUGCCAUCAGUACUUUAGCAGCUCAAUGGGAAAAAUUCCUCAGGCAAUGAGUACAAGAAAAACCAACCCCCAACAAAGGUUAUUACUCCACUGGCAUAGUCUGGGAUAUGCCUUUGGUCUGAAAAUGUAACUCAAAUUUCAUACUAGUAAGUCUUGUUUUUCAGGCUACCCCAAGCAAUUUAGGAUAGGGAGCAUUAAUUUGCAUCCAGUGCAGUGUUUUACAAUAUGUGUACAUCAAUUAUGCAUAAUUUCUGCUGCUUUAUAAGGUGUUACUUGUGUUUAGAAAAGAAAAUGCUGCCUUACCAUAAAAUGAUUUUUGAAUAGCAAUGUUGUUUAAUUGGUUUCACUGUGUACUUGAGAUAUUUUUAAUUAGCUUUGAAUAUUUAAAUUUUUAAUAACUCUGUUAUAUCUAC
rnacentral:lncRNA from 1 species